GACGAACGCUGGCGGCGUGCUUAACACAUGCAAGUCGAACGAUGAAGCCGGAGCUUGCUCUGGUGAAUUAGUGGCGAACGGGUGAGUAACACGUGAGUAACCUGCCCUUGACUCUGGGAUAACUGCUAGGAAUGGUAGCUAAUACCGGAUACGACCCUCGGCGGCAUCGCCAGGGGGUGGAAAGAAUUUCGGUCGAGGAUGGACUCGCGGCCUAUCAGCCAGUUGGUGAGGUAACGGCUCAACAAGGCGACGACGGGUAGCCGGCCUGAGAGGGUGACCGGCCACACUGGGACUGAGACACGGCCCAGACUCCUACGGGAGGAAGCAGUGGGGAAUAUUGCACAAUGGGCGCAAGCCUGAUGCAGCAACGCCGCGUGAGGGAUGACGGCCUUCGGGUUGUAAACCUCUUUUAGUAGGGAAGAAGCGAAAGUGACGGUACCUGCAGAAAAAGCACCGGCUAACUACGUGCCAGCAGCCGCCGUAAAAC
rnacentral:rRNA from 1 species